rnacentral:rRNA from 2 species
UGGGGGAUAUUGCGCAAUGGGGGCAACCCUGACGCAGCAACGCCGCGUGAAGGAUGAAGGUUUUCGGAUUGUAAACUUCUUUUAUUAAGGACGAAACUUGACGGUACUUAAUGAAUAAGCUCCGGCUAACUACGUGCCAGCAGCCGCGGUAAUACGUAGGGAGCAAGCGUUGUCCGGAUUUACUGGGUGUAAAGGGUGCGUAGGCGGCUUUGCAAGUCAGAUGUGAAAUCUAUGGGCUCAACCCAUAAACUGCAUUUGAAACUGUAGAGCUUGAGUGAAGUAGAGGCAGGCGGAAUUCCCCGUGUAGCGGUGAAAUGCGUAGAGAUGGGGAGGAACACCAGUGGCGAAGGCGGCCUGCUGGGCUUUAACUGACGCUGAGGCACGAAAGCGUGGGUAGCAAACAGGAUUAGAUACCCUGGUAGUCCACACUGUAAACGAUGAAUACUAGGUGUGCGGGGACUGACCCCCUGCGUGCCGCAGUAAACACAAUAAGUAUUCCACCUGGGGAGUACGAUCGCAAGGUUGAAACUCAAAGGAAUUGACGGGGGCCCGCACAAGCGGUGGAUUAUGUGGUUUAAUUCGAAGCAACGCGAAGAACCUUACCAGGGUUUGACAUCCUGCUAACGAAGUAGAGAUACAUUAGGUGCCCUUCGGGGAAAGCAGAGACAGGUGGUGCAUGGUUGUCGUCAGCUCGUGUCGUGAGAUGUUGGGUUAAGUCCCGCAACGAGCGCAACCCCUAUUGUUAGUUGCUACGCAAGAGCACUCUAGCGAGACUGCCGUUGACAAAACGGAGGAAGGUGGGGACGACGUCAAAUCAUCAUGCCCCUUAUAUCCUGGGCUACACACGUAAUACAAUGGCGGUCAACAGAGGGAAGCAAAGCCGCGAGGCAGAGCAAACCCCCAAAAGCCGUCCCAGUUCGGAUUGUAGGCUGCAACUCGCCUGCAUGAAGUCGGAAUCGCUAGUAAUCGCGGAUCAGCAUGCCGCGGUGAAUACGUUCCC